GACGAACCGUGCAAACGUUGUUCGGAAUCACUGGGCUUAAAGGGCGCGUAGGCGGGCAAGCAAGUCCGGGGUGAAAUCUUUCGGCCCAACCGGAAAAGGGCCUUGGAUACUGCUUGGCUGGAGGGAGGUAGGGGCAGACGGAACUUCCGGUGGAGCGGUGAAAUGCGUUGAUAUCGGAAGGAACGCCGGUGGCGAAAGCGACGUGCUGGACCUCUUCUGACGCUGAGGCGCGAAAGCUAGGGGAGCGAACGGG
rnacentral:rRNA from 1 species